AGAACGAACGCUGGCGGCAUGCCUAACACAUGCAAGUCGAACGAGACCUUCGGGUCUAGUGGCGCACGGGUGCGUAACGCGUGGGAACCUGCCUUUAGGUUCGGAAUAACUCAGAGAAAUUUGAGCUAAUACCGGAUAAUGUCUUCGGACCAAAGAUUUAUCGCCUUUAGAUGGGCCCGCGUAGGAUUAGCUUGUUGGUGGGGUAAUGGCCUACCAAGGCGACGAUCCUUAGCUGGUCUGAGAGGAUGAUCAGCCACACUGGGACUGAGACACGGCCCAGACUCCUACGGGAGCAGCAGUGGGGAAUAUGGACAAGUGGGACGAAAGCCUAGAUCCAGACAAGUGCCGCGUGAGUGAGUGAAGGUCCGUUAGGGUAGUAAAGUC
rnacentral:rRNA from 1 species